rnacentral:rRNA from 1 species
GACGAACGCUGGCGGCGUGCUUAACACAUGCAAGUCGAACGAGUGGGAACGGGUGAGUAAUACGUGGGUAACCUGCCCAUCAGAGGGGAUAACACUUGGAAACAGGUGCUAAACCGAUACUGAUGGAUGGACCCGCGGUUCAUUAGCUAGUUGGUGAGGUAACGGCUCACCCAGGCCACGAUGCAUAGCCGACCUGAGAGGGUGAUCGGCCACACUGGGACUGAGGGACGGCCCAGAAUCCUGCGGUAGGCAGCAGUAGGGAAACUUCGGCAAUGGACGAAAGUCUGACCGGGCAACGCCGCGUGAGUGAAGAAGGUUUUCAGAUCGUAAAACUCUGUUGUUAUAGAAGCGGUAUCUAACCGGAAAGCCACGGCUAAAUACGUGCCAGCAGCCGUGGUAAUUC